GAAUUCUUUCUGCAAGCCUGAGAUCUCAGACUGUAUGCAAUGAAGAACUUACCUGAAGCAGUCCAGAUUUUAAACAAAUAAUUCCAAUUCUUACAAUCCAUUCAGAUGCAGAGCUGGGCUGGUGUUAACACUGAACUGCCUGCAUUUUUCAAGAAGCAGUUGCUGUACAACCUUCAGGCCAACAACAAAUCCUUGAGUUGACAUGUUGGGCUAGCAGAUUUUGGGUUCCGUGUUUUCCUUCUUUGAGGAAGAUAUGAAGGCAAGUCAUCAUACAGAUGAUUCUCUAAACAAACCAACCUGGAAACAAGAUGGGAUGACUCACAGUCCGGAGUUCCCAUUUCUCGCUCAGAGAAUCUGGGUGACAGCUCAGAAUAAACACAGAACUCCCAGACGGCUAUGGGUAGGUGAGCUAUUAAACACGGAGAUGAUAUUGUCAUCUGUCACAAACACGAAAACUUACUCCAACAACUGGCAGCACAGAUCCUAUCAUUUUAUGUGUGAAGGUGGAUUUGUUUUCCUCCAGUUAGAUUACUUUAUUCCUAUUAAUUUCAUCUGUUGUUUUAUUAUCCAGUCAUUUUGUAAGGUCAGGCUGCAAUUCUUUAUGGUCAGCUUUCACGCUGCCUUGACAUUUGUAUUCCUUUGUUGUGUGCAAAUAUGGUCACCUCACUGCUCACUACAUUUUCAGGUCACUUAUAAGUGUGUUGAACAUUAAAAAUCCCAGCCUGCAUGGAAUACUACUGGCAACUCUACUGUACGUGGGAUGUAAUAAUUUGCUCCUGCCAUUUAACAAUUUAUUUACCUGUUAGGACCUACACUUUCUGUUGCUUAAUUUACCCACAAGUAUUUUGCGUGAAACUUUAUGAGCUGCCUGUUGAAAUUCUAAGUAUAUUGACAGUAUUAUCCUUAUCCAUUAAUAUUUUAAUCCCUUAAAAAAAACACAGAAAACUUUGUAUCAUAGAACUUCCUAUGAUUCCUUCUGCGGAAACCACAUUGGUUAUUCCCAGGUAGUUUACAUUCAUGUAGGUCUCAAAUAACUCUAUGUAAACAGACUCUUCAUUAAUCUACCUGCAAGGUUUAUGGUCUGUGCCUCCUAGAUUCUUCUGGAAUGCUUCUUUUUAAGGAUUAUCACAUUUAUCAUUCUCAAGUCUUCCAGUGCUUAGAGAUAUAGUACAUCUCUAACUGUACUAUUUCAUACUUGUACUGUUGGACUUUGGGUGAAUACCAUGAAAUCUCGGCCAUUUAGACUACUGCUAUUUUACCAUGAUCAUCCCCAAUUGAUACUGUUACUUCAAUUUCCAGUAGAUUAUCUGUUAAAAACCUGUUCCUAGUCCCCCUAAAAUUUAUAGCAUAGAAAACUCCCCAGGUUAUUCUAUACUGAACACUGAGGCAAAAAUUUUAUUUCUGUCCUCUGAAAUGGUGUGGUCCUUUGUAAAUUUUAUGACUCCAUGGUUCCAAGACUAUCUUGUAGCUUUUUUGUUGUUGUUAGUUUUGAUGGUUUAGAUUAGAUUACAGCUUAGAUUACAUUUUAGAUUAGAUUCUGUUUCAACCUAAGGAAAAAAACACCCAAAAGUAGUCUAUUCACAGAAUUUAGUUCUCAUUUGAAAGUUGGCAUUUGAGCGUAAUUCAUUGUCAUAAUGCAAAGAGCAAUCUCCUUAUUAAGAAAAUAUAAGUCAUCUUUUCAUAUCCCUAGAAGGAAAUUAGUGCUCCAGAAAGUUGAAGAGAAUCUACCUAUUGAAUUUAAAACUAGUUAAAUAUAUUUUUUUUAGUCAUAUGAUGUACAAUUGCUUCACCUAGUAGUAAAGUUUGUGGUUUUUUGAUUCAUUUUCAUUUUGGAUUGACUAUUCAGAUUAGCUUGAGAACAUUCCAAUGUAUUUGACAAGAGAGAGGAAAAUAAAAAUACGUACCCAGGAAGAAAAAAAGGAGAAAAGUGAAGAAACAAAUUGAAUUUGACUAACUAUUAAAAGAAAGAAAUCUUUUCUU
rnacentral:lncRNA from 7 species